rnacentral:lncRNA from 1 species
UGGUUACAGUGGUUCUGUUGCAUAGGAAAUACGCAACCACUCUAUUAGCAAAGAGUUGCUUUAGGGUAAAGAUGGGGUUGGGCCCAAUAAUUGUUAGGUGAGGGAUCCAAUGACGGCCUUGCACCUGCUUGUGAAUGGUGGUUUGGGCUUAACUAAAAAGUUUAGGCAAUAACUAUUAGGUGAGCCCAUAUGACUUAGAGACCAAGUCACUGCAACAUGUUUAGUGAAGCAUCU